CCCAACUGGUACCACGUUUGACAAAUGAGAUCCUGUCUGGUCUUGUACAAAAGCAAUAAAAGGAUCUUCUUCCUAAAAGCACUGAGGACAAGAAAAAAAAAGUAUGUAUCAAUAAGAAAUUCACAUGAACCUCAUCACUUGCGACUUAUGAGAGAAAAUAGAACAGAAAAAGUAUCCUGUCUUCCCUUCAAAAUCAACGAGCAGGCCCUUUGUUUUUCUCCUUUUCUAUUAUUCAGCUGAAGCACAGCACAAAAAACACAAAUGUCAGUGGACAACUGUCUUUUUUAUAAAAAAGAAAACAAUUUAGGAAAGGCUCGUGGGUAAGAAAAUUGGCACCCACUGGCUGAAAAGUAUUUUGGGAUUUUCCAAGGAUUUAACUGGUGUGCCUCCUAUCCCAUCUUCCCCAUAAGAAAAGAAUAGGAGAAAAUAAGAUUAGGAAAACAUUCUGAGAUUCUCUUAAAUUUCAACAGAUCAUCCCCGUCUGUCUCUAGUAAGGGGAGUACAACUUUUAUGACCCUUCACCCUCUUGUGAAGAUGGAAGCCUUCACUUUAAAAAUAUUUUAGGCCAGGGGCAGUGGCUCAUGCCUGCAUUCCCAGCACUUUUGGAGACGGAGGUGGGAGGAUCACUUGAGCCAGGAGUUUCAGACCAGCCUGAGCAACACAGCGACACCCCGUCUCUACAAAACACAAAAUUAAAAAAAAAAAAAAAUAGCCAGGAUGGUAGAGCACACCAGUAGUUCUAGUUCAGGAGGCUGAGGUGGGAGAGUCACUUGAGCCCAGGAAUUCAAGGUUGCAGUGAGCCAUGACCUCAUCACU
rnacentral:antisense_RNA from 1 species